rnacentral:pre_miRNA from 1 species
CGGUUGAUCGAAAAUCCACUAUAUCUAUGUAAUAAAUAACUUUUCAUAAUAAAAGCGAAUAUGUGAAAAGACAUUACAGAGAUAUAGUGGAUUUACGAUCAACC